rnacentral:rRNA from 1 species
CCUACGGGAGGCAGCAAUUAGGAAUCUUGCGCAAUGGGGGAAACCCUGAUCCAGCCAUUCCGCGUGAGUGAAGAAGGCCUUCGGGUUGUAAAGCUCUUUCGGCAGGAACGAAACGGCGGACUCUAACAUAGUCUGUCAAUGACGGUACCUGAAGAAGAAGCACCGGCUAACUACGUGCCAGCAGCCGCGGUAAUACGUAGGGUGCGAGCGUUAAUCGGAAUUACUGGGCAUAAAGCGUGCGCAGGCGGCUUUGUAAGACGGAUGUAAAAUCCCUGGGCUUAACCGAGGAACUGCGUUCGUGACUGCAAAGCUAGAGUGCGGCAGAGGGGGGUGAAAUUCCUGGUGUAGCAGUAAAAUGCGUAGAGAUCAGGAGGAACACCGAUGGCGAAGGCAGCCCCCGGGGUUGGCACUGACGCUCAUGCACGAAAGCGGGGGGAGCAAACAGGAUUAGAUCCCCGAGUAGU